rnacentral:rRNA from 1 species
UACGAAGGGUGCAAGCGUUACUCGGAAUUACUGGGCGUAAAGCGUGCGCAGGCGGUUCGUGAUGUCUGAUGUGAAAGCCCCGGGCUCAACCUGGGAAUUGCAUUGGAAACUAGCGGGCUGGAGUGUGGCAGAGGGGGGUGGAAUUCCACGUGUAGCAGUGAAAUGCGUAGAGAUGUGGAGGAACACCGAUGGCGAAGGCAGCCCCCUGGGCUAACACUGACGCUCAUGCACGAAAGCGUGGGGAGCAAACAGG